AUGGAGGCAAUUGGUGUCUCCUACUCGAACCCGUUGGAGGACUACGAGUUGAUUGACCGAAUCGGCAGUGGUACAUACGGAGAUGUAUUUAAGGCCCGAGACAUCAAGACGUCUGUGGUAUCUGCAAUCAAAGUUGUAAAACUAGAUCCUGGUGACGAUAUCUCAUCUAUCCAACAGGAGAUCACCAUGAUUAGAGAAUGCACUCACAAGAACAUUGUGGCCUAUUUCGGCAGCUACUUCAGAAAUAACAAGCUGUGGAUCUGCAUGGAGUACUGCGGCGGAGGUUCCCUGCAGGACAUUUAUCAUGCUGCUGGCCCCCUGAACGAGAGGCAGAUUGCAUAUGUGUGCAGGGAAACACUCCAGGGACUGCGUCACUUACAUGAGACUGGAAAAAUGCACAGAGACAUAAAAGGAGCCAACGUUCUUCUAACAGAGCGAGGAGAUGUCAAACUGGCGGAUUUUGGCGUUGCAGCUGAGAUCAAUGCCUCUGUUGCCAAGAGGAAGUCCUUCAUAGGCACACCUUACUGGAUGGCACCCGAGGUGGCAGCAGUGGAGAAGAAAGGCGGGUACAACCAGCUGUGUGACAUCUGGGCAGUGGGCAUCACCGCUAUCGAGCUGGCAGAGCUUCAGCCUCCAAUGUUUGACCUGCACCCAAUGAGGGCCUUGAUGGUGAUGUCAAAGGGCAGCUUCCAGCCUCCCAAACUGAAGGACAAGUCCAAAUGGUCCGUUGACUUCCACAGCUUUGUGAAAGUAUCCCUCACCAAGAACCCUCGGAAAAGGCCCACUGCAGAGAAGUUGUUACAGCACCCCUUUGUGAGUCAGCGGCUGACCAGGACUCUGGCCAUUGAACUGCUGGACAUGGCCAGCAACCCUGUUCUGCAAACCUCACACACUAUGGAUGAGUGUGAUCUUGAGACAUGCAGUGCAUUCCCUGAUAAGAUCCAGUCUCUAGGGAAACCCCUGUCGGUCCAGAGGACUCAGUCUGAGGAGCAGUUUGAUCUGCUAAAAUUUGGCCCUCCCAUGAGGAAGGAGACUGACCCCUCUCCUGACCUGGGAUCAUAUGACGAAUGGUGCAUUUCAGGAGAUGAAAAGAACUCCUCGAGUCUACUGGAGUGUGUCGAGGAAGCAUUGCUUGAAAGGAGGUUAACCAUCAAGAGAGCGCCCUCUGCUGAGCACUCUCCUGAAGAAGAUGAUGAUGAUGAUAUGGAUAAAUGUGGCACAGUGAAGAGGAGUGGGGUCCUCAGUCCUGCCCCAAGGCAUACCAUCCCCCCGUCCACUGACACUACUUGCCCCAUAGAAUGCACUGGCAAUUGUGACUCCACCCCUCCCACUGUCACACCUCCAUUCACAGACCCCACCCUGGCUGACCUCUCUCUCUUCAACUCUACCAUCUUUGCUGACACCACCAACUGCUCCUCUCCCUCUGAAGAAAAGGCUCAAAUCCAUCAUCCUGAGACACUAUACUGCGCUGAAGGGUCUGGACAGAGGCCGGAAAAGACGGCCGCCAAGGCCCAGCAGCCCCCGCUGUCUCCAGAAUGGAGCACACUCAGGAGGAAAACUGAGGACUCGAGAGGUGAUUGCCAUGGACUUCCACCCACACCCAAAGUCCAUAUGGGGGCCUGUUUUUCCAAGGUGUUUAAUGGCUGUCCAUUAAAUAUCCACUGUGCUGUCACAUGGGUCCUGCCAAAGACUAAAGAUCAACACCUCAUCCUGGGGACAGAGGAGGGCAUCUAUACCCUGAACCUCAACGAGCUCCAUGAGGACACAAUGGAGAAGUUAUUACCCCAGAGGUGCAGCUGGCUGUAUGUCAUGAACAAUGUGCUAAUGUCUAUCUCAGGGAAAUCAUCGCAGCUGUGCUCCCAGAGGCUGACCACCCUGUUUGAUCAUCGCAGACACCUGCCGAAGAGGCAGGGCCACCUGUCCAUCAACACCCACCGCCUCACCGAGAGGAUCAACUCAAGAAGGUUUUCUGUGUCUGGAAAGAUACCAGACACCAAAGGCUGUCGACGCUGCAGCGUUGUGCGUAACCCGUACACUGACAGCACAUUUUUGUGUGCUGUUGUACCAACUGGCCUUGUCCUACUGCUGUGGUACGAGCCCCUGCAGAAGUUCAUGCAACUCAAGCAUAUCGCUGUGAGUCUCCCAGAAAGCCUCCCCAUCUUUGAACUGCUUGUCCUGGAGAAAGAGGAGUUGCCACAGGUGUGUGUGGGUGUGCGCAAGUUACAGGCCCCUGUCAAGACCUGUGAGCAGGUCCACUUUGACAUCAUCCACUUGAAUGACACACCCAGAGCCCAGACAGGUGGACAACAUGUCAGUUCAUGCUGCAAGAGCUCUGAUGGGUUGGGGGACGUCCUCCGGAACUUGUCAAAAUAACUGUGUAAGUCUAUAGAAGGAGGUGAGAACCAUGAACCUCCUAGGUUUUGUAUUGAUGUCAAUGUACCCAGAGGAGGACAGAAGCUAGCAGUCCUCCGGCUACACCAUGGUGCUACCCUACAGACUUCUGCCGAGGCUACUGUAGACCUUCAUUAUAAAAGUUUUUGUUUUUUACACACACCCUUUUUCUCCCCAAUUUCGUGGUAUCCAAUUGUUAGUAGUAUCUUGUCUCAUCGCUACUAUCUUGUCUCAUCGCUACAACUCCCGUACGUCCUCCGAUACCCUACCAAGCUGCACUGGUUCUUAACACAGCGCGCAUCCAACCCGGAAGCCAGCCGCACCAAUGUGUCAGAGGAAACACCGUGCGUCGCCCCACGGACCCCGGUCGCAGCCGGUUACGACAGAGCCUGGGCGCGAACCCAGAGUCUCUGGUGGCACAGCUGGCGCAGCUGGCGCUGCCCUUAACCACUAAAACACAUAAAACAGUGUUUUAAUCAAUUAUUUGGUGAUGUGAAUAUAAUUAGUAUAGUUUUAUCUAAAAAAGAUAACCCCACUGGUAGGAAUGAGGUUUGUGCAGUAGGCCUAAUACAUUAUCACAGCAUAUUGGCUAUAUACCUGGCCUGACAAUGUUCUUCUCAGACCAUAUUAUAUUUUAGAAAAACUUGAGCUUUGAUAAGAAAAUAGAUCACUUGCGAGGCACAGCAGAGCAUAAAUUGAAAUAAUUUGCAAAUUAACUUUUUUAUUUUACUGGACUUGAUGGUACCUGCAUCUCAUGGUCAUGGUGCUUUCAAGACAAAAUGGGAACUCUGGAUGAGAAAAAGAGGUCAAAUCGUGACAUCAGUGAUCUUAAGGUCAGAAUUGGAAUUCUGAGUUGGAUGACUGUUUUUAAAAAAUGAUGUCCCAGUCGGAUCCCAGUUGUCUUGAACGCUCGGAUGUUGUAGAUGGCUCAAAAUGGGAACACUUUGCCUUCCCGUGCACAGGGCUUCUGAACCAAGUGCACUUAACAACGACAGCGAAAGCCUUUAUCGUUGGCUUUUCUACAAAAAUGUUUGGUAAUGGACUAGGAAUUGCGAUCGACAGGUUGACCACUGAUCUAGACAGAUGAGCAGUGUGCAAGCUGUGAUGUUUUUGUAACGUUUUCACAGGUAGUCAAUCUCUGAAGGUGAUGCAGGUAACUCAGCUGGACAGAGACACAGUACUGAUCACUCUGGAGAACACUGUGGAAAUUGUGAAUCUGAAUGGAAAUCCAAGCAAAGGGAGGACCUCAAAGUUGACCUUUGACUUUUCCAUUGAGACUCUUGUAUGUUUGCAGGACAGUGUUCUGGCCUUCUGGAAGCAUGGGCUUAAAGGUAGAAGCUUGAAUAGUGAUGAGGUUACACAAGAGAUCACGGAUGAAAGUCGAAUAUUCAGAGUCUUGGGAACCUCAAGGGACAUUAUUUUGCAGAGUACUCUCACGGACAAUCCAUCUGCCUUAAGCAACUUGUACAUCCUGACGGGGCAUGAGAGUAGCUACUGAGGAAAUCUGAGAAUGGAGGACAUUCCGUCUCGAGGAAGUACACAGCAGUCUCCUACUACUCCUAAAAGGACAAGCACAAAGUUAAUAAGGAUGGAGCAAGGACGCCUACAAUGGUGAGUGGUUGGCCAAAGAGACACAGCUGGGACUGUCUGAGCUUUGAUUGGAGUGGGCUUUCCUCACGGCUUCUUCGCAUCCAACCGCCAAAUGGACCUGUGAAAAUCAGUGGUUCAAAACAAUACCAGUGGCCUAGGCUACGUGAAGAUCUUGGCAUUGCAGUCACAGUUUUUUAAACCACACUUGUCAUAACUCUCCUGUGACGAUCUGAAGGAUCAGGUUACAGUGGGUCCGCUCUACAGCGUGCCCCCUCUCAUAGAGGGGGAGAGCGGGAAGUCGGCUGUUUUUAUGGCGGUCAUAAAAUACGCUGCCUCUCUGCUCUGUAGUGUUCGAUCUUGGAAUGUAAACUGUGGAACACAAGAGACCCUUGGACAUAAUUUAAACAAUAUUUAUAUUUUUGGGAAUGUGGGAGUGGUCCGUGAACACUUGAGGGACAGUCAUGACGAGUGUGUUUCAUUUGGUGAUCUCAUGAAGGACAGGAAACCCUCUACUGUGUCUUUGGUUGUGUACACUUCUUAAUUAUGGAGUUUACAUCUAAAUAUUGUGAAAUGUUUGUGAUUAAACAUGGAACUAGUUGUGAAAAGAUGUAAUGUGAUGUUAACCCAUAUUUUCUCAUUUAGAAGGUUUUCAUAUAGUUAACCAAAUCAGUGGCCAUGCCCACAUGAGCAUAGACAUUGUCGGUGUCAGGAAGCGCCCUUUUCUCAGACGUAUAAAACCCACUCCUGACUAAAUUUACAUUAGACUAAAAAACAUGGAGCUGACGCUACAUGUUGAAAUGGUUAAGAACUACAACUCUAUAGGCCCAGGAGACCAGACAGCGGGUAGUGAUUGCCACACGGCUGGAAAUGGUUAAACUCUGAGACUAUCGAUCACUACAGAAUAAGAGCAAAUCCUAGACGUAGAAUUACUAGUCUGCAGCUGGAAAUUGCGUAAAUCUAGUACGAGAAUAACGACAACCGCGGAAGCAUCUAUUCUAUGCAAUGGCCACCUGUACGCCUGACAUAUCCAUAACAACAGACACUAUCCAGAGCCGCUGAGAAAGCUACAACCGCGAACGACAUUGACUUCUGUGGACAUUAACCAGAGACUCUCUGAUGAACUGACUCUCCAGCAGACGGACCGACGAUUCCAACAGAGAAGACAACGACAUACGGGCGUAAAUGUUGCAAUUAUUUUCCAAUGAGCGGCCGUUCAUGUGCAAAGGAUUAGCAUUUCAAUUCAUAUAAUUAUCAACUGGGUAGUGAAUCCAUUUUGUCUUUCCCGCUCUUUCUGUCCCCACCCCUUUCCAUUGUCUACCAAGCCUCACAUAAUGGUUUAGCCCACUAGGGACUUUUCAAUGCGUUGUGUUAGUAACCAAUAACUAUAUUGUUUGUUUAUGUGUUUCUGUGAUUUGUUUAGUUAGUAAAUAAAAAUUAAGCGAAUUUGUA